UCUGCCUGAACAUCACAGCUGUGCAUUCAGCCUCUGCCAAACCUCAUUGCAUUGUCCCCAGCAUGACUGCAAGUGAAGAAAAAUCACUCACAGCACAUAAUAUGCAGUAAAAUCCUGCAGGAAUUUAAUGCCCUUUAUUAAUUACCCUUCAAAAGUAUUUCAAAGUUAAGUUUACUAAGAAUCCUUUUCUCAGUCAGACCUUUCCUAAAAUCAGGUAAAUUUACAAACCCACAAACCUCAGUUGGGAUUUUUCAUGUCCUGAUGCUUGCUUUCACACCUCUCUGGUCUCACUGGCAGUGGCUGCACAUUGAGGUGCACAGGACUUUUCCUCUUGGGAACACAGCCAAGAAAAUGUCAACUAGCAAGUACAGAGAAGCAGCAAAAGACUGUGCUUUUCAAGACAGAAGUCAGUGAGUUGGACACUGCCAAGUCUGAACCCUGUACCAAGCACACACAAAAAUUUGACCCAACUGCCAGCAAACUAAGAUUCCUUUGGUGUGUUCUGCUGAGAUUCCAUUACUGCCUUUAUCAUUAAGAAAAUAAUGUAAUAAAAUGAGACCUUUUCCCUGAAUGCAUUAAUAAAGAUAACUUGUUGGUCAAGCUCCAAAACCACUGGAGCCACAUUUAAUUUACUGCUUUUAUGGAUUUAGGAUUUGGUUUGCUGCUAUGUUCAGUCCACUGCAACAAUAUAAUGGGAAAUUGUAAUGGCAUGUUUAAAAGAAAGGGUUCAUAAUCUAUCACUGAAGCUUUAAAAUGUCUUGUGCAAACAUCCACAAUUAAAUGCUACCAAAAAUGGUCAUUUCACAUGGUUUCACCGCAGCUCACCAAAGGAGGAGGGGAGGAAAGACCCAAAUAAUCAUCAAUAUAGCUUUUUGUGCUAGUCACCUUCUAACAGCCUGGGGAAGAGAACUGCUAAAAGAACUGUAAAGGUUUGCAACCCCACUGCUGCUUCUCAUAUUAAGAGCAUCUGUGCAUUACUUCAUAAAAUAUCAGAUGACAUACUGCCUUAUUUCCAAUCAAUAAAAAUAACAAUAUGUUAUGCAAAGGUCCUUCUGAUGUCUUAUAAAUAGUUGUUCAGAAGGGCAUUGGUCUUUUGUCAGUGCCUAGUUCAGGUGGUGGAGACCUUUCCACCAACCAACACAUAAAACAUGAGAAAACAAGAGCACCUGUGGAGUGCAGGUCCAUAGGCCUGACACGUGGUGACAGGGAUAAAGAUGGCACCAAAGCCCUGUAGUCCAUCAACCUCUGCACAAGAAAAGUCCAGUUUCUUAAGGGCCAGAUUCUGCACUUCUCACACUGAGCAGGAACUACUCCAACAGCUGCCUUCAUGUGGGCUUGCUGCUGCCUUGUGAUGUGAGAAUAAUGAGGAAAGCUGCUGAGUUUUGGCUUAUUUGAAUCAAAAAGGCUCUGGUGCAGACAGAGCCACCUCUUCCUCCUGCUCUGGUUUGAGGAGAAGAUGGCGACAGGACAAACUUGCUUUCCACACUGCUGAGCAGGCUGCUGCUGGUGUGGCUGUGAUGUAAUCCAGCCCCGGGUGAAGAAAAAUAAAAGCUCCUGAUGGAAAAUGAACACCAAACCCACUCAGUUCCUUUGGAUUUAUUUUAAGAUUGUGGGUUUCAGUAAAGAAUGUCUGACAAAUUCUUUCAAAUUGUCCUAGGAAAUGUGCCCGUCUCUUCACUUGGGGGCAAGAGAGGAAGGAAUUUGCCAUCUUCAUUUUACCACUGUGAUUGAUUAAAUGCCUCAUAGGUAGUGCUGGACAAAGGCAUUCUGAAAUUCAGGUGGCAAAAGAAGUGCUUUGUUUAGAAAAUGUGACUGGUACAGAGCCUUUCUCUAGCUGCAGAUUUAAACAAAUACAUUGUUUUUUAUUUGCGUUCGGCAGUUUCCAUUUGUGCAGCUUUUGCCAGAAGACUGAAGAGGUCUGUGAUGUGUAAUUUACUGCUCAGUGAUUUUAAAGAUGAAUGUUUGGACUCUCA